CGAAGAAUGGAAAGAACCUCGGAUUUAUUCGACGUGCUGCUUUCCACAUUCGAGGGGGAUUUUCUUUUUCUUUGCAGAAGGGUCUUGGCCGAGCGAAGUGUCGAAACCGUGACUGAAUCUCAGCGUCGCAAUUGAUCAAGGUCCUCAGCUUUACUAUUAUUUUGACUUGAUGCAGCCAUAUGACAUUUGAUGCACACAAGAACAGAUUUCUAUCCAUCACAGACCUUGAAGAAGUUCAGAGAGGCCCAGCAACUCAGAAUAAGAAACAUUCCUUCCCAAGAACUCCUCUGGAGUGGAAAGGGGAGAAGGAGUUUAUUUCUACCAGAUUACAGAGCCUAGAAAAAGUUUCUGGCAAAUAUUAUGAGAUGAUGACAAAGAAGAAAAAUAAGGUGUAAGAGUAUGUUACUAUUGCCAAAUAAGGAAACUGCAUCUCAGGAAGCCAAGCAGAGCCAUAAUUCACUUUUUCUAGAAAAUGUAAGUUUUGAUUCAGAACUGGAAACCAAAUCAAUUCUUUUCUAGAAGUCAUGAACAUGUUUUUAAAAAAACCUAAUUUGAUAUGAAAAGUUGUAUUGUGACUUGCAUUUUUUAAUGAACUGGAAUGAAAAACAUUUUUUGUGUUAGAGUGUGAUAAAAUGUUAUGUGUGUUACCUCCUAUGUAAGCAGUUUUUUUAACUAUGUGGUCCAUAUUUUUUGUCUGAUCGUUGGAAUACCAUGUCCGCCCCAAACUCCUGCCUAUAGAAUGAUCUUUAUUAAUCUAGAUCUAGAUCUAGACUUAAAUCCGUCCGUCUAUCUAUCUAUCUAUCUAUCUAUCUAUCUAUCUAUCUAUCUAUCAUUUUAUUGUCAUAGUCUGGAAUUUACUGUGCAUUAGUGUAGUCAUAUUUAGCAAUAGUAGGAAGUUAUAAGUGAUACACUACACCAACCCCCCCCUCCCAACACAUGCCUGUACAUUUGGCUGUCUAUCAUAACUGAUGAGAAGUACUGGGGACUGAGUGCCAAUGGCAAGUCUGUAUUUUCUAGGAAACCUAUUUGCCAUCUAAAGUAAAUUUCCAGGAAGCUAGUGAAAGAAACCCCUUUCCAUCUAUUCUUCAAAAUCCUAAAAAGACAUCUAUUCUAAUGUCCUGCAACAUGUGCAUGUUUUUCAUGGAUUAAUCGAGGAACAAAUUAAAAGGUAGGCAUUUAAUCCAUUUUGCUUUCCUUUUUUAAAAGUGAUUUGACAGCCAUAGUCAUUUUCUAGGAGAAUCUGAAAUGUUUACAUGCUGUUUGAACUGAUCU